UUGAUAAUAUAGUUUAUACUAUCAUUAAUUAUGUGCACUGUUACCGCCAAUUGGCGGCCGUAAGGUCGUCAAUUGGCCCCAAUUAAAAUAUUUAUUAAUAACCUUUUAUACCAGUAAUCAUAUAAACUUAUGA
rnacentral:misc_RNA from 1 species